rnacentral:rRNA from 1 species
UACAGAGGUCUCAAGCGUUGUUCGGAUUUAUUGGGCGUAAAGAGCGUGUAGGCGGCCAGGUAGGUCAGCUGUGAAAACUCGAGGCUCAACCUCGAGACGCCGGUUGAAACCAUCUGGCUAGAGUCCGGAAGAGGAGAGUGGAAUUCCGCGUGUAGCAGUGAAAUGCGUAGAUAUGCGGAGGAACACCGAUGGCGAAGGCAAUCCCCUGGGCCUGCACUGACGCUCAUGCACGAAAGCGUGGGGAGCAAACAGG